rnacentral:rRNA from 1 species
AUUGAACGCUGGCGGCGUGCCUAACACAUGCGAGUCGAGCGGUAACAGGCGUAGCAAUACGUGCUGACGAGCGGCGAACGGGUGCGUAACACAUGGGAAUCUGCCCUCUGGUGGGGAAUAACCCGGCGAAAGCCGGGCUAGUGCCGCAUAAGAUCUUCGGAUGAAAGCGGGGGACCGUAAGGCCUCGCGCCGUUGGAUGAGCCCAUGUCGGAUUAGCUAGUUGGUGGGGUAACGGCCCACCAAGGCGACGAUCCGUAGCUGGUCUGAGAGGACGGCCAGCCACACUGGGACUGAGACACGGCCCAGACUCCUACGGGAGGCAGCAGUGGGGAAUAUUGGACAAUGGGCGAAAGCCUGAUCCAGCGACGCCGCGUGUGUGAAGAAGGCCUGCGGGUUGUAAAGCACUUUCGAUGGGAACGAAAUGUGCCGGGCUAACACCCCGGCAAGCUGACGUUACUCAAUGAAGAAGCACCGGCUAACUCUGUGCCAGC